UACGUAGGGGGCGAGCGUUGUCCGGAUUUAUUGGGCGUAAAGAGCGUGUAGGCGGCCAGGUAGGUCUGCUGUGAAAACUCGAGGCUCAACCUCGAGACGUCGGCGGAAACCAUCUGGCUAGAGUCCGGAAGAGGAGAGUGGAAUUCCUGGUGUAGCGGUGAAAUGCGCAGAUAUCAGGAAGAACACCGGUGGCGAAAGCGCUUUGCUAGGCCGCAACUGACACUGAGGGACGAAAGCUAGGGGAGCGAAUGGG
rnacentral:rRNA from 1 species